AGUUCAGACUGCAGGCUGCAACUCGCCUGCAUGAAGUCGGAAUUGCUAGUAAUCGCGGAUCAGCAUGCCGCGGUGAAUACGUUCCCGGGCCUUGUACACACCGCCCGUCACACCAUGGGAGCCGGUAAUACCCGAAGUCAGUAGUCCAACCUCGUGAGGACGCUGCCGAAGGUAGGAUUGGCGACUGGGGUGAAGUCGUAACAAGGUACC
rnacentral:rRNA from 1 species